rnacentral:lncRNA from 1 species
UUUAGUUAAGCAAAAUAGUAUUUUAAUUGUCUUCUUAAUUAUUAUGAAAAAUCUAAAAAUUAAUCUUUUAAUUAUACUUAAAAUUUAUAUAUAAAAUUGUAAUUUAUGCAAUAUAAAAAAUUUCAACCACAUUAUUUAUUUAUUAAAUUAUUUUAAAUGUUUAAAAUAUUUAUUUUUUAAUUUAUUAAUUAAUAUAAUUAUGGAUGUAAAAAAUCUGUAAAAUUAUAGAGAACGAGCAGAAUAAAGAUAGGAAGCAGAGAAUUAACGGAGAAAUGAAGAACACAAGAAAAGUGCGAGGGUGAAUAGAAGAGUAGGUAGGAGUUGACGAGUGAUGGCUUGAUUGCAACUUGCAGCCAAAGAAUUAAAUUUCUUUGCUUUUAUAAAGGUCUACUGCACUACUAUAUUAUAAAUUUAUUUUUUAAUAAAUAAAAUAAAAAAUUUUAAGACCAAUAAUAAAUUUUAAGAUGGAUUAAAUUAAAUUUAAAUGUUAACCAUAAAAUACUUAAUUUAUAAAAUAGUCUUUUAAUAUUAUUUUUUUUAUUUUAAUAUUAUUUUAAAUUUAAUAUAUCAUAUUUUUCCAAUUAUUUUAGUUUCCCUCUUCAAUAAUUA